UACGUAGGGGGCAAGCGUUAUCCGGAUUUACUGGGUGUAAAGGGAGCGUAGACGGCAAGGCAAGUCUGAAGUGAAAGCCCGGUGCUUAACGCCGGGACUGCUUUGGAAACUGUUUGACUGGAGUGCCGGAGAGGUAAGCGGAAUUCCUAGUGUAGCGGUGAAAUGCGUAGAUAUUAGGAAGAACACCAGUGGCGAAGGCGGCUUACUGGACGGUAACUGACGUUGAGGCUCGAAAGCGUGGGGAGCAAACAGG
rnacentral:rRNA from 1 species